UGGGGAAUAUUGGACAAUGGGCGAAAGCCUGAUCCAGCAAUGCCGCGUGAGUGAUGAAGGCCUUCGGGUUGUAAAGCUCUGUCGGGAGGGACGAAAAAACAGCCUAACAAACUGUAUUGACGGUACCUCCAAAGGAAGCACCGGCUAACUCUGUGCCAGCAGCCGCGGUAAUACAGAGGGUGCAAGCGUUGUUCGGAAUUACUGGGCGUAAAGCGCGUGUAGGUGGCAGCGUAAGUCGGAUGUGAAAUCCCUCGGCUUAACCGAGGAAGUGCAUUCGAUACUGCGCUGCUUGAGUGCAGGAGGGGGUGGCGGAAUUCCCGGUGUAGAGGUGAAAUUCGUAGAUAUCGGGAGGAACACCUGUGGCGAAGGCGGCCACCUGGACUGUGACUGACACUGAGACGCGAAAGCGUGGGUAGCAAACAGG
rnacentral:rRNA from 1 species